UGGGGAAUCUUGGACAAUGGGCGCAAGCCUGAUCCAGCCAUGCCGCGUGAGUGACGAAGGCCUUAGGGUUGUAAAGCUCUUUUGGCGGGGAAGAUAAUGACGGUACCCGCAGAAUAAGCUCCGGCUAACUUCGUGCCAGCAGCCGCGGUAAUACGAAGGGAGCUAGCGUUGUUCGGAAUCACUGGGCGUAAAGCGCACGUAGGUGGGCAGUUAAGUCAGGGGUGAAAGCCCGAGGCUCAACCUCGGAAUUGCCUCUGAUACUGGCUGUCUAGAGUUCGAGAGAGGUGAGUGGAAUUCCUAGUGUAGAGGUGAAAUUCGUAGAUAUUCGGAAGAACACCAGUGGCGAAGGCGGCUCACUGGACGCGUAUUGACGCUGAGGUACGAAAGCGUGGGGAGCAAACAGGAUUAGAUACCCAAGUAGUCCCUGAGCGGGCUGGCAAGGCGCAU
rnacentral:rRNA from 1 species